rnacentral:rRNA from 1 species
AACGUAGGAGACAAGCGUUAUCCGGAUUCAUUGGGCGUAAAGGGCAUGCAGGUGGUGCCUUAAGUUGGAUGUGAAAUCUCCCGGCUUAACUGGGAGGGGUCAUCCAAAACUGGGGCUCUUGAGGGCAGGAGAGGGAAAUGGAAUUCCCGGUGUAGCGGUGGAAUGCGUAGAUAUCGGGAGGAACACCAGUGGCGAAAGCGGUUUCCUGGCCUGCAUCUGACACUGAUAUGCGAAAGCUAGGGGAGCAAACGGGAUUAGAUACCCUCGGUAGUCC